rnacentral:rRNA from 1 species
GAUGAACGCUGGCGGCGUGCCUAAUACAUGCAAGUCGAGCGAACAGACGAGGAGCUUGCUCCUCUGACGUUAGCGGCGGACGGGUGAGUAACACGUGGAUAACCUACCUAUAAGACUGGGAUAACUUCGGGAAACCGGAGCUAAUACCGGAUAAUAUAUUGAACCGCAUGGUUCAAUAGUGAAAGACGGUUUUGCUGUCACUUAUAGAUGGAUCCGCGCCGCAUUAGCUAGUUGGUAAGGUAACGGCUUACCAAGGCGACGAUGCGUAGCCGACCUGAGAGGGUGAUCGGCCACACUGGAGCUGAGACACGGUCCAGACUCCUACGGGAGGCAGCAGUAGGGAAUCUUCCGCAAUGGGCGAAAGCCUGACGGAGCAACGCCGCGUGAGUGAUGAAGGUCUUCGGAUCGUAAAACUCUGUUAUUAGGGAAGAUCAAAUGUGUAAGUAACUAUGCACGUCUUGACGGUACCUAAUCAGAAAGCCACGGCUAACUACGU